UACAGAGGUCUCAAGCGUUUGUUCGGAUUCAUUGGGCGUAAAGGGGUGUGUAGGUGGCGCGCUAAGUCGGGUGUGAAAUUUCGGAGCUUAACUCCGAAACUGCAUUCGAUACUGGCGUGCUUGAGGACUGGAGAGGAGACUGGAAUUCAUGGUGUAGCAGUGAAAUGCGUAGAGAUCAUGAGGAAGACCAGUGGCGAAAGGCGGGUCUCUGGACAGUUCCUGACACUGAGACACGAAGGCCAGGGGAGCAAACGGG
rnacentral:rRNA from 1 species